rnacentral:rRNA from 1 species
UACGUAGGGGGCAAGCGUUGUCCGGAAUCAUUGGGCGUAAAGCGCGCGUAGGCGGCCCGGUAAGUCCGCUGUAAAAGUCCAGGGCUCAACCCUGGAAAGCCGGUGGAUACUGUCGGGCUAGAGUCCGGAAGAGGCGAGUGGAAUUCCACGUGUAGCGGUGAAAUGCGUAGAGAUGUGGAGGAACACCAGUGGCGAAGGCGACUCUCUGGUCUGAAACUGACGCUGAGGCGCGAAAGCGUGGGGAGCGAACAGG